rnacentral:rRNA from 1 species
UGGGGAAUUUUGGACAAUGGGCGAAAGCCUGAUCCAGCAAUGCCGCGUGUGUGAAGAAGGCCUUCGGGUUGUAAAGCACUUUUGUCCGGAAAGAAAUCCUUGGCUCUAAUACAGUCGGGGGAUGACGGUACCGGAAGAAUAAGCACCGGCUAACUACGUGCCAGCAGCCGCGGUAAUACGUAGGGUGCAAGCGUUAAUCGGAAUUACUGGGCGUAAAGCGUGCGCAGGCGGUUUGCUAAGACCGAUGUGAAAUCCCCGGGCUCAACCUGGGAACUGCAUUGGUGACUGGCAGGCUAGAGUAUGGCAGAGGGGGGUAGAAUUCCACGUGUAGCAGUGAAAUGCGUAGAGAUGUGGAGGAAUACCGAUGGCGAAGGCAGCCCCCUGGGCCAAAUACUGACGCUCAUGCACGAAAGCGUGGGGAGCAAAACAGGAUUAGAUACCCUGGUAGUCCACGCCCUAAACGAUGUCAACUAGUUGUUGGGGAUUCAUUUCCUUAGUAACGUAGCUAACGCGUGAAGUUGACCGCCUGGGGAGUACGGUCGCAAGAUUAAAACUCAAAGGAAUUGACGGGGUCAUA